UACGAAGGGGGCUAGCGUUGCUCGGAAUUACUGGGCGUAAAGGGUUCGUAGGUGGCCAACUAAGUCAUACGUGAAAUCCCUCAGCUUAACUGGGGAACUGCGUCUGAUACUGGUUGGCUUGAGUGCAGGAGAGGAACGCGGAAUUCCAGGUGUAGCGGUGAAAUGCGUAGAUAUCUGGAGGAACACCGGUGGCGAAGGCGGCGUUCUGGACUGCAACUGACACUGAGGAACGAAAGCCAGGGGAGCAAACGGG
rnacentral:rRNA from 1 species